rnacentral:lncRNA from 1 species
GGCAGACAGGGCAGUAGGAUUCUUAGUUUUUCUUUUUUCUUUUCGUGGGUGUUGAGGCCAGUAGGCCUUGUAUUAUACAAUGUUUGAUGUUGAAUGUAGACAUUUGUGUAAUUAUUCCUCAAGCUUUUUUCGUAAAUGUCUUGUUUUCUUUUUCCUUAUGCCGAUCCGACCUCGGCAGCGCGAGGUCGGGUGAGCUACUUAGAUUUUUGCGCUAGCCAGAGUCCCCGAGCCUAAGUGCUUUUCCUUUUUCCUUAGUAACUCUUGAAAGUCCGAAUUCGUUCCCCGACUCUAAGGUGAGUAGAGGCGGUCUCUGCUCGUGAGCGCAGAUCCUACCUCGGGCUCAUGCCUUAAGAUUUAGGGGACAGAUUUUCGGUUUCUUAAGUCUUUUUAGGAGGGAGGAGGAAGACCUUGGGUCGGGGUUCUUUUAAUUUGCACGAAAAAAGGAAAAAUAUUUGGAG